rnacentral:rRNA from 1 species
UAAAAUCUUAGUGGCGGACGGGUGAGUAACGCGUGGGUAACCUGCCUUACACUGGGGGAUAACACUUAGAAAUAGGUGCUAAUACCGCAUAAGCGCACGAAGCCGCAUGGACUUGUGUGAAAAACUCCGGUGGUGUAAGAUGGACCCGCGUCUGAUUAGCUUGUUGGCGGGGUAACGGCCCACCAAGGCGACGAUCAGUAGCCGGCCUGAGAGGGUGGACGGCCACAUUGGGACUGAGACACGGCCCAAACUCCUACGGAAGGCAGCAG